CCUACGGGGGGCUGCAGUGGGGAAUAUUGGACAAUGGGGGCAACCCUGAUCCAGCCAUGCCGCGUGUGUGAAGAAGGCCCUCGGGUUGUAAAGCACUUUCAGUGAGGAAGAACGCCUGGUGGUUAAUACCCAUCAGGAAAGACAUCACUCACAGAAGAAGCACCGGCUAACUCCGUGCCAGCAGCCGCGGUAAUACGGAGGGUGCGAGCGUUAAUCGGAAUUACUGGGCGUAAAGUGCGCGUAGGUGGCUUGAUAAGCCGGUUGUGAAAGCCCCGGGCUCAACCUGGGAACGGCAUCCGGAACUGUCAAGCUAGAGUGCAGGAGAGGAAGGUAGAAUUCCCGGUGUAGCGGUGAAAUGCGUAGAGAUCGGGAGGAAUACCAGUGGCGAAGGCGGCCUUCUGGACUGACACUGACACUGAGGUGCGAAAGCGUGGGUAGCAAACAGGAUUAGAUACCCUGGUAGUC
rnacentral:rRNA from 1 species